CCAAAGGCUCUUUUAAGAGCCGCCACGUUAUCAAUAAAAAGAGCUGU
rfam:Cuculus canorus contig35621, whole genome shotgun sequence.